UGGGGAAUUUUGGACAAUGGGGGAAACCCUGAUCCAGCCAUCCCGCGUGUGCGAUGAAGGCCUUCGGGUUGUAAAGCACUUUUGGCAGGAAAGAAACGUCAUGGGUUAAUACCCCGUGAAACUGACGGUACCUGCAGAAUAAGCACCGGCUAACUACGUGCCAGCAGCCGCGGUAAUACGUAGGGUGCAAGCGUUAAUCGGAAUUACUGGGCGUAAAGCGUGCGCAGGCGGUCGGAAAGAAAGAUGUGAAAUCCCAGAGCUCAACUUUGGAACUGCAUUUUUAACUACCGGGCUAGAGUGUGUCAGAGGGAGGUGGAAUUCCGCGUGUAGCAGUGAAAUGCGUAGAUAUGCGGAGGAACACCGAUGGCGAAGGCAGCCUCCUGGGAUAACACUGACGCUCAUGCACGAAAGCGUGGGGAACAAACAGG
rnacentral:rRNA from 1 species